CACACUUUUAGUAUUCACAUAUCCCUUGGGUUGAACUUCCUUAGAGGCAACUUCCUUAUAUUCACACACCUCUUGAGUCGUACUUUUUUGGAGGCAUCCUCGUAGUCACACACCUCUUGGGUGUGCUCUUUUGAAGGCACUUCCUUGAGUUGAGUUUUCUUAGAGACAUCACCCUUGUGAUUUGCAUACCCUUUGGGUAAACUUCUAUAUAAGUACCCUUGUACUUUACACAUUAUUUGGGGCGACCUUCCUCUAAGGCAUUUUUCUUGUACUUCAAAUAGUAUUAGGAUGACCUUUGUUGGGGACAUCCUUGUUGUACUUCACACACCUGUUAACUUAGACACCUUCAUAUUAGUGAGCCGAACUUUCCUAUGGGCCCUUAGGUACUUCACACACUUACUUAUGCUAGACUUUUAUUGGAUAGUUAACCUGUUCCCUUAUAAGAUUUUUUUCUAACUUCCCAUCUGGUCACUUAUCUUUAGAUUGUUUUAGCUCAAGACUUUUUAACUCUAGAGUUUUUAUGUAAUCUUAUGGCAACUCAUCGAUUAAGGGGUUUAGGGUUUAAGUUUUUUUUUUUUUUGUCAUCCUUACUUCUUAGGCUAAACUUAGAGGCGUCUCUCCUCGUACUUCA
rnacentral:lncRNA from 1 species